rnacentral:rRNA from 1 species
GACGAACGCUGGCGGCGUGCUUAACACAUGCAAGUCGAACGGUGAAGCGCCUUCCUUUUUGGUGGGUGUGGAUGAGUGGCGAACGGGUGAGUAACACGUGAGUAACCUGCCCCCUUCUUCUGGAUAACCGCAUGAAAGUGUGGCUAAUACGGGAUAUUCUGGGUCUGUCGCAUGAUGGGUCUGGGAAAGAUAUUGUUUCGGUGGGGGAUGGGCUCGCGGCCUAUCAGCUUGUUGGUGGGGUGAUGGCCUACCAAGGCGGUGACGGGUAGCCGGCCUGAGAGGGUCGACGGUCACACUGGGACGGAGACACGGCCCAGACUCCUACGGGAGGCAGCAGUGGGGAAUAUUGCACAAUGGGCGCAAGCCUGAUGCAGCGACGCCGCGUGAGGGAUGGAGGCCUUCGGGUUGUGAACCUCUUUCGCCAGUGAAGCAGGCCUGCCUCGUUUGUGGGUGGGUUGACGGUAGCUGGAUAAGAAGCGCCGGCUAACUACGUG